AACGCUGAAGCCGACAGCUUGCUGUUGGUGGAUGAGUGGCGAACGGGUGAGUAACACGUGAGUAACCUGCCCCUGAUUUCGGGAUAAGCCUGGGAAACUGGGUCUAAUACCGGAUACGACCUUUCCUCGCAUGAGGGUUGGUGGAAAGUUUUUCGAUCGGGGAUGGGCUCGCGGCCUAUCAGCUUGUUGGUGGGGUAAUGGCCUACCAAGGCGACGACGGGUAGCCGGCCUGAGAGGGCGACCGGCCACACUGGGACUGAGACACGGCCCAGACUCCUACGGGAGGCAGCAGUGGGGAAUAUUGCACAAUGGGGGAAACCCUGAUGCAGCGACGCAGCGUGCGGGAUGACGGCCUUCGGGUUGUAAACCGCUUUCAGCAGGGAAGAAGCGAAAGUGACGGUACCUGCAGAAGAAGUACCGGCUAACUACGUGCCAGCAGCCGCGGUAAUACGUAGGGUACGAGCGUUGUCCGGAAUUAUUGGGCGUAAAGAGCUCGUAGGUGGUUGGUCACGUCUGCUGUGGAAACGCAACGCUUAACGUUGCGCGUGCAGUGGGUACGGGCUGACUAGAGUGCAGUAGGGGAGUCUGGAAUUCCUGGUGUAGCGGUGAAAUGCGCAGAUAUCAGGAGGAACACCGGUGGCGAAGGCGGGACUCUGGGCUGUAACUGACACUGAGGAGCGAAAGCAUGGGGAGCGAACAGGAUUAGAUACCCUGGUAGUCCAUGCCGUAAACGUUGGGCACUAGGUGUGGGGGACAUUCCACGUUCUCCGCGCCGUAGCUAACGCAUUAAGUGCCCCGCCUGGGGAGUACGGUCGCAAGGCUAAAACUCAAAGGAA
rnacentral:rRNA from 1 species